AACUUUCAACAACGGAUCUCUUGGUUCUGGCAUCGAUGAAGAACGCAGCGAAAUGCGAUAAGUAAUGUGAAUUGCAGAAUUCAGUGAAUCAUCGAAUCUUUGAACGCACAUUGCGCCCCUUGGUAUUCCGAGGGGCAUGCCUGUUCGAGCGUCAUUG
rnacentral:rRNA from 2 species